GCCGAGGUGGGGAAACUGGUAUACCCGCUACCUUGAGGUGGUAGUGCUAUAAAAAGCGUGCAGGUUCGACUCCUGUCCUCGGCA
rnacentral:tRNA from 1 species